rfam:Ictidomys tridecemlineatus contig066744, whole genome shotgun sequence.
AUAUCUCAGUUUGGCGGCACAUAUACUAACACUGGAACGAGAUCAAGAAGAUUAAAAUGGCCCCUGCACCAGGGUGACACGUAAAUUUGUGAAACGUUCCAUAUUUUA